rnacentral:lncRNA from 12 species
UUCCCGUUGAAGGGCUUGAUAUUUAUUAGCUCGGCGGUGAGCUGGUCAGCGGAGAUCCACGCUCCAGGGGACGAGCCGAGUCCAGCUCCACAGGCCGCUCCACCCUCCUCUGCUCAGACCAACUGGAGCUCCUCCCGGGGCAAUGCUGGCUGGCGCCCGGGGUGCAGGAGGUGGCACCGGGGGCAGCGGGCCCGCGUCUCCCUGCAGGAGCGGGGCUCGGGGCUGUGAAGGAGCCUGGCUGGCCCUCUGGCGGGGAGGCCACCCGGGCCUGCUCAGGACGGGCAGCGAGCUGGGAGCAGAGUGGACGCCAGCCCCAGAGAUGCCCGCAGCCCUCGGGAGCACUCCCUGGAGGACGGCCGCCCCGGCCUCAGCGGCCCAGGAGCAGCUGGUUGGCAAGAGUUCGCUCAGAAAACUUCAUGAGCCCUGGCAGUGGAGGGAGCCUUGGAUGGUGGCUACAGGACUGAAGAACUAUCAGAGGACCUGGUCUUUGUUUGAGAGACACUGGCAGAAGGGUCUCUCAGGCCCGACCCCGUGGACGUCUGGGGCCAGUUCUCUGCCGCAGAGAUUGCUCUGGCGCGGCCGGGCGACCGCAGGCCUCACAGGUGCACACGGGCCCGCACCGCACCCCGACGCCGACACCAGCAGCGCCCGUUGUGACCAUCAAACGUGUCUCCAGACAUGGAGAGGUGUCAGCCGGGGAGCAAAUGGCCCCCGAUGGAGCCACCACGUCCGGGUCGCUCCUUGAUUAUCUCCGGCCUCGGGAGGAAACUGUUCACUCACCUAACACUGGCCAAGUGGGCCCGACACGGCGCGCUCUGCAGUGAAACACAGAGGAGGUACAUUCGGAAAGCGGCAGGAACCUAAGUAAGGUGGUUUAGGGCCCCCGGGGGGCUCGGCGGGUGAGCGGCUGCCCUAGGCCCAGGGGUGACCCCGGGGUCCCGGGUUCGAGUCCUGCAUCAGGCUCCCCGCAGGGAGCCUACUUCUCCCUCCACCUGGGCCUCUGCCUCUCUCUCUCUCUCUCUCUGGGUCUCUCGUGAAUCAAUAACAAUCUUCUAAAAAUAAAAUAAAUAAAUAAGUAUUCCGGCUUAAAAGC